CUUGGUCAUUUAGAGGAAGUAAAAGUCGUAACAAGGUUUCCGUAGGUGAACCUGCGGAAGGAUCAUUAGUGAAUUAAACAUGCUUGGUGUCUUCGCUUCGGCAAGGCCCUUGCUUAAAUCACAUCCUAACACCUGUGAACUGUAAGACGUAUGAUGAGGUCUUUGGCCAAGUCAUCGUCUGCCCUUUUUUAACAAACAAUUAAUGUAACAAACGUAGUCUUAUUAUAACCUAAUAAAACUUUCAACAACGGAUCUCUUGGCUCUCGCAUCGAUGAAGAACGCAGCGAAAUGCGAUAAGUAAUGUGAAUUGCAGAAUUCAGUGAAUCAUCGAAUCUUUGAACGCACCUUGCGCUCUUUGGUAUUCCGAAGAGCAUGCCUGUUUGAGUGUCAUGAAAAUAUCAACCUUGACUUGGGUUUUGUGCUCUAGUCUUGGCUUGGAAUUGGGUGCUUGCCGCUUUUACGAGCGGCUCACCUUAAAUGUAUUAGCUGGAUCUGUCUUUGAGACUUGGUUUGACUUGGCGUAAUAAGUAUUUCGCUAAGGACAUUCUUCGGAGUGGCCUCGUUUCUAGGACGCUUGUCCGCUUCCCAAUACAAGUUCCACCUCGUGGACAUGACUUUUAUAUUAUCUGGCCUCAAAUCAGGUAGGACUACCCGCUGAACUUAAGCAUAUCAAUAAGCGGAGGA
rnacentral:rRNA from 1 species